CGUGGAUUGGGUUGUUGUUGCUGACCUUCUUUUACCUGACCAAAUUAUAAAGCUUCUCACUUUCGUUUGGGUUUUAACUUCUUCGGGCUCUCUUCUCUCUUGUCUACUCCUUUACGCUUUCCUUCUCCCAAACCCUAAUUGCGAUCGUAUCUACCGCGGUUUCAGAUCUCCAUCGCUGCCGAUCAGGAGCAAUGUCUUUUACACGUAACUUCCGCUCCCAAGGGGGCACUACUGGUGACGAGUAUUGGCCCUCAUUCAGUAGAAACGACUUCAAAAGCUUCAACAACUUCAGAAACUUCAACCACAGCAACAACAACUGGAACAGGAGCAGGAGCAAUAGUUUCUCUAGGAAUUUUAACAACUUCAAUAAUUACGUGGGCAAUUAUAGGGAGCAUACUGACAAUUCUAAUUAUUCCAAGCCUGACACUGCUCCAUCGUUUAAGAGGAGAAAAUUUUCAGCUUCUACUUGGGGUGAUGGUGCGAGACACUAUCUUCCUGCCAACACAUAUGAGUUUGCCCCUUCUAUCUACAAUAACUAUGUUCCUCACACAAGGUCCAAUGGUGAUGCCUCUACAUCUACUACCGGUAAACGUGACCGCACAAAAUUAGAGGAGGAUGAACUGGCCUUUAUGUCAAGGGAUGAGAUUGAGAGACACUCCCCAUCUAGAAAAGAUGGUAUAGAUGCAGUGCGUGAAGCACAUUUGCGAUACUCAUAUUGUUCUUACCUUCAGAAUCUUGGAUUGCGGCUUGAUUUGCCACAAACUACUAUCGCUACUGCAAUGGUUCUCUGCCAUCGGUUUUUUGCUCGGCGAUCACAUGCUUGCCAUGAUAGAUUUUUGAUUGCUACCGCUGCUCUUUUUCUUUCUGCAAAGUAUGAGGAGACACCACGGCCUUUGAAUAAUGUGUUGAGAGCAUCUUGUGAGAUUUUCCAUAAGCAGGAUUUCAGUUUCUUGUCCUAUAUGCUCCCUGUUGACUGGUUUGAGCAGUAUCGGGAACGGGUGACUGAUGCUGAGCAAAUGAUACUGACCACUCUAAAUUUUGAACUCAGUGUGCAGCAUCCAUAUGAUCCUCUUACGUCUAUUCUUAACAAAUUAGGCCUUUCACAAACUGUUUUGGUGAAUCUGUCCUUAAGCUUGGUCAGUGAAGGGAUGUACACAAGAUUAGCGUUGAUCACCUGUAUGAUAUUCUUAGCUGGCGGAUUGAUAUGCUGUUCAUGGAAACUUUUUGAUUUACUUCUGAAGUUGAACUGCCGAUAUGUUGUGGAUGAAUUUUCAUAAUAUGCCCCAUCAACUUGGUCAUUGGCUAUUGAAUAUAGCCACAGAACCUCCAUAGCCAUUUUCACUAUUUUCUUUUAACAUUCUGGUGGAGUUUAUUCAGAAAGAGUCCUCUAAAGUCCUGCUUACAAACAUACAGUUUGUGAGACAGGGCUUUGUGUGUGCUAGGUUUUGGAGGAAGACCAUUCACUAGGCAAGGAUUUAUUUUGUUGUGCUUGGUAGCCCUUCCUGUCCUUGAUGCAUUUUUACGAACACCUCCAAUGACUUUGCCUACUAACAAGAAGCAGUUGACCAGAUAUCUAGGGGUUGCUUUAGGUUUAACGGAGGCUAUGAUAAGUGUUUUCUUUCUGCAUCAGUUUUGAAAGUUUUGAAUUUUUUUUAUCUUAUAACCUUUUGCACAAAUCAGAUAGUACACUGGGUUUGCACUCUGAGUGUUCUAAUUUUUCUUCCUUCUUGAGUAUCAGGGCUUCAGUCUGAUUUCAGUUUCGACCAAACUCUUUCUGAUGGAAGUUUAAACCUUGGCCCAAGAAUUGCAAAUUGUUGUAGAAAUGUGGCUACUGAUGCAUGUGUCUCAGGAGCUUGUGUGGGUUCUGUCUGACUUAGAUGUUUUGUUGUAUUCAGUGCUGGGUUCUUUUUCCCAGUACAGAAUGGAAUGGGAGGCCUUAAAAUAUUGCCAUUCAUCUACCCUCUCCCCCAAAAGAAGAAAAGAAAAUUGAAAAAAAAAUUAAUGCAACACUUGUGAAGUGAAAAUGAGAAAGAAAUUGGCAAAAUGUGCUGACAGCUCUCUCCAUUAGCGAAGCUUUGAGAUGUAACUUGUUUUCCAAGAUGGGGAAUAGGAGGCCAGGAAUUGUAACUCAAUUUUGAAAUAGUUGCCUGGUGUCAUAUCAUAUAUAUUUGGUUUAACCUAUAUUUCUCAGGGUGGAUCUAGACCCUGCCCAAUUAUUUAUCAGGGCCAAGAUCUUGACUGGGAACUGUUUGGUUCCAUUUACUUGUUAUCAGUUAUUGUCAAUUGCCUAGUCCCAACUCCCAUGUAAGUUCUUUUUCACAAUUUUGAAUAAAUUUGGAGGCCAGUUGAGUUAGUGGGCAAUCUUUGUUUUUUUGGCCCUUGACAAUAUUAUAAUAUCUUAUUUAAGUUUUCCUAUGUUCAAACUUUAUUUGAAACAUUCUUUCAAGUGAUGAAUUUGUUUCUAUAUAUUUUUUGUGAAAAAAAAGAUAACAGUUUUCUUGAAAUAAAUUUUGAUUUAUUCUUUGUCUAAAUUUAUUAUUAUUUUUAACUACGUUUUAUAUCGUAUUCCUAUCUUCAUUUACUUGUGAUAAUGAGUUUGAUCUUAAUGCUACUAUUGGUGUUAUUUAUGAUUAUUAAUUUUAUUAAUUUUACUACUGUCACUAUGGACUGGUUAUUCCUUGUUUUACACAGAAGUACACAGCCAAAUGUAUAUGUAUUUGAAAAUUGAAAAUUCCACAUUCAUUUAUGACAGUUUGUAAAAUCUCAUAAAAGAAUUAAAUGUUAUCUUCUAUAGCAUAUAUCCUUAUCAGAAAAAAAAAAAAAAAAAAAAAUCAUAGCAGUUAAGAUAUAGGCAUAUACUUUUGUAUCCUACUUGGUUUCAUCCAGGGAUGUUUUUGGUGAGGUGGAAAGGCUAUCCAGAUCAUUUGUACAAGUGUUGUAAGAUUAUGUGUACUGGCUGCAGCUGGUAUGAAAAGCUUUUGUGAAGACUAAAAUCACAAUGAGUAUAGAUUCCAGAGGAAAGAUUUUACUACUUUUUUUUUUUUGGGUCUGAGAUUUUACUAAACUAUGUUACAACUUUUAGCCAAUUUUCUUUAGUGAGAAUUAACCACCCUACCCCAGUUGAAUAUCUAGCAUUCAUCCUAGUAGUUGUCUGAAAAUUCCAACCAUUGUUAAAACCCUAGGGUGCAGUCCUCAUUUUGGUUUUCUAAGAAGUUCUCGGCAAGCCUUGCUUUACCCAGUGCUCCUUAGUAUAUUAUAUAGAAUAGAUUAGUUGAUGGUAUAAGAAAAGGAUAUACGUGUUGUACACUCUCAGAUAUACACAUACUGACCAGCUGGAACAAACUAUAAAUGACAUUUCAGCUUUAUCUCAUGCCUGCAACAUGUGUAUAGUCGAUGAUUCUCAUUGGGAAGUCAAUAGUUGGGGUAAUGUGUAUGUUCAAUGAGCAUCGAUGCAUGUGUUUGACAAGUCUGUCCAGAUCCAGCCAUUGAGCAGAAGAUUGUGGAUUUGCUUUCAGAAGUUUGAUUGUUUGCAAUGCGCUUCUGCUUCCUGUUUGCUUUCUCAUAUGAAUUGUGUACAUGAGUAAAAUAGCCGUGCAGCGGUUUUGGGCCUGGGAGUUUUGAUGUGUUCUCUAGAUGGGUAUAACAUGUUUGCUAUAGAUUUGGUACUCUUAUCAGCAAUCCUGCAGAGAUUCUGGAAAAUAUUCUACCUGACUUGCUGCUUUUGUAGUUGUUGCACUGGACAUUGCCUGGUCUUUCUAGUGUUGCCUCAGAUGGUUUGGUUUGGAUAUGUUGUCUUUCUGCCUCUCCUUGCCAAUGCUCCGGAGUUCUUUGUGGCUCCAGUUCAAACCACAUCAUAUCGCUGCUGGAGCAGCGUACCUUGCUGCGAAGUUUCUAAAUUUGGAUCUUGAUUCUUAUCAAAAUGUCUGGCAGGAGUUCAAGGCUACACCAGAUAUUCUUGAAGAUGUGGCCCAGCAGUUGAUGGAACUGUUCUAGAAGAAUGGAACAUGGUUGUGGUGGUAGGCUUUAGCUACUCUUUUUGUGGAUAAAAUUAGGAUAUGCAUGUCAUGAUCAAGUGGGGAAAACAUAUACACGACUUUGCUGAGGUCUGGGCGUGAGGAGGCAGAUAUUCCCACCAAGAUAUUAUAUAUACGUGCCCAUCUUUUGUCUCACAACUGCCCCUUCCUCAUGAAGGCUUAAAAAGUAUAGGUUUUUUUUUAAAGGUUUUUGUAACAACUUCGACCAGCCAUACUCUUUUCUCGGAAUGGUAAGUUGAUACAAUGACAAAAUCGCUAUAAAGUUU